UACAGAGGGGGCAAGCGUUAUUCGGAAUUAUUGGGCGUAAAGGGCGCGUAGGCGGCUUGGCAAGUGGAUGGUGAAAUCCCUCGGCUUAACCGAGGAACUGCCGUCCAAACUGCUUCGCUUGAGACCGGGAGAGGUGAGUGGAAUUCCCAGUGUAGCGGUGAAAUGCGUAGAUAUUGGGAGGAACACCAGUGGCGAAGGCGGCUCACUGGAUCGGUACUGACGCUGAGGUGCGAAAGCGUGGGGAGCAAACAGG
rnacentral:rRNA from 1 species